rnacentral:lncRNA from 1 species
AUGCCUCCGAAAAUUGAGGAAAUCAAGGACUUUCUGUUCACAGCCCAAUGAAAGGAUGCUGAAUCUGUCAAGAUCAAGAAAAAUAAGGACAAUGUGAAGUUUAAAGUUCGAUGCAGCAGAUAUCUUUAUACCCUGGUCAUCAGUGAAAAAGAGAAGGCAGAAAAACUGAAGCCAGUCCCUGCCUCCUAGUUUGGUAGUGAAGGAGUUGAAAUGA